GCAGAGUAGAAGCCCGCGCGUGAAGUGUCCUUUGAACGGGGAGUUGUCAGAGGAACGAAAAUCUCUAUGAUUGCGGUGCCGGCUUCGCAUCCCACUG
rnacentral:ncRNA from 1 species